CCAGUUGUAAUUGACACUCAAGCUUUCUUCUUGUUCACUCAAGGGAUUUUCCGGAAAUCAAGCCCUCAUCACCGAGCCAAGAACCAAACUUUUCCCCCAUCCAUGUUUGCAUUCUGGAAUCACAAAAGUCAGUAGGUACUCAACCAUCCACCCACCCACCUACCUGCGCCACGAGGUUUGACGUGAUGACAAUUCCCACAUGAAAUGAAUGAGGCCAGGAGCAACGCAUUAUGUAUGUAGGGACGAAUAAAAAGGAAAGGAGACAUUCUGCGGAAGAUGGCGGUAUCAAAAGAGGUAUACGAAAUGGUAUUGCAUGCUCAUUCGUAAGUAAUGUAUACAUUGUGCAUUGGGAUUCGGUACCAUUGGCUUGUUUUGAGAGACAGUUCCCAGUCUCCAGGUCCCAGCUGAAGUUAAAGAAGAAAGAAAGCACCCAUCUUUAUUUUUCCAAAAGCUCGCUCGCUCGCACCCACGCUCGCUUCCCUUCACUCCCGGCCCCCGUAGGGCUUGAAUGGCGACUCGAAACCAUUAGAAGCAUGCCUCAAUGGACUUUGAUGUCCUUCUCAGGGCACAUAUUCCUAAUGGAGAACAACUACCUUUACUUCUAAAAAAUUCGUCAGAACACAUUCAUAUUAAUACUGUAUCAGAAGAGGGGAGACUUACCGUCCAAACAAAUUGGGACAGCCCCGAUAAUCCCGCUCAGGCUGAUGGGCACUAACGUUUUUUUCAUGGAUGAGCCAGAAUGGAUUCGAGGAAGACAAGAAUCUCUGGAUUGGGAAUGGCCAGGGCUCGGAAACAAGGAUUAAUUUUGAGGGCCAAAUAAACCUUACGAAAACAUUCAA